rnacentral:misc_RNA from 1 species
GAUAACCCGUAUCGACUUUAGAUGGAUCAGUAGAUUGAGCAGCAUACAGAAAACCAAAUGCACCAACAAUAGCACCAGCUUUCCCAGCUGCAGCUGAUAUCCCGUGGCACGUUGAUCUCAACCUAGCUGGAAAAAUCUCCGCGGGCACAACAAACGUUGUAGCAUUUGGACCAAAAUUCGCGAAGAAAAAGGUUAGUGAAUACAUGAUAACA